ensembl:lncRNA
GUUCAUUUUUUUUUUAAUCUCAAGGUGUUCUUGAUUUAAUCAGGCACAUCCUUGAUUGCUCUGUCCUGAAGCUCUACCCUUAGUUUUGGGCAAAGAGAUCCCAGGGAGGUUUCCCCUGAGAACUGUGAUAUCACCCCAAACUGUGGAUUUUGUUCUCAUCCCACGCAGAGACUGAGAUUCCUGGCUUCGCUCUGGGCCCAAGUGGAUCAGCUCCCUUCAGACCAGAUUGCCCUGGUCUGGGACUCUGCUUUUCCACAGUCAGAGAGGAGAAGACACUAUCAAGACUUGAGGAUUAUUUGGAUAACCUUUUUAAGGAGGUGGCAAUUGAGUUGAGUCCUAAAGGGUGUUCGGGAUUCCAAGAGAUGAAAAUGAGGAUUUGAGACAUAUAGGAAGAGCCUAUGCAAAUAGAAAAGGUCUCCGUCAGCAGUGGGAGAAGAAAAUUUGCACAAUAUAUUAGCCCAAACAGUUUCCUGAGUAGCAACUGCUAUUUCGAGUGCACUUGGAACACCUCCAAAAGUCUGAGAAAGACGCCCAAGUAAGAUUACUGAAAUGAGCAGUACAGCACUGGGGUCUAAUGCUAACCUUCUGGAAGGCAAGGUAGGCAGCCCGGACUCUAAACUGAGAUGCUGAGCACAUCUGCACACUGCCUUGGAAGUGUCAGACCAGCUCCUCAGCCCAAUUCAAGGAAAAACGGAGAGACAGAGAGACAAAAGAGAAGAGAAAGAGGAGAGAAAUUGAGAGAGAAGGAAACAGAGAGAGACGGAGACAGACAGAGAGAGAGAAGAGAGAGAGUUCUUCCACCAGAGGAACUUAGUUCAUCUUGGACAGGAGAAAAAUAAACUUGAAAACUCAGAGACAGCUUCAUGGAAAAAUGUUAAACGCAAGGAUUACCAUCCUCUAAUUCAGACAUUUCUCUAAUUAUAAGAGCAUUGGAUUUCAAGUUAGAGAACUUAGGUCAAAAUUCAAUACUUG